rnacentral:rRNA from 1 species
CCUACGGGGGGCUGCAGUGGGGAAUCUUGCACAAUGGAGGAAACUCUGAUGCAGCGAUGCCGCGUGAGUGAAGAAGGCCCUUGGGUUGUAAAGCUCUUUCGUCGGGGAAGAAAAUGACUGUACCCGAAUAAGAAGGUCCGGCUAACUUCGUGCCAGCAGCCGCGGUAAUACGAAGGGACCUAGCGUAGUUCGGAAUUACUGGGCUUAAAGAGUUCGUAGGUGGUUGAAAAAGUUGGUGGUGAAAUCCCAGAGCUUAACUCUGGAACUGCCAUCAAAACUUUUCAGCUAGAGUAUGAUAGAGGAAAGCAGAAUUUCUAGUGUAGAGGUGAAAUUCGUAGAUAUUAGAAAGAAUACCAAUUGCGAAGGCAGCUUUCUGGAUCAUUACUGACACUGAGGAACGAAAGCAUGGGUAGCGAAGAGGAUUAGAUACCCUGGUAGUC